UACGUAGGGGGGCGAGCGUUGUCCGGAAUCAUUGGGCGUAAAGCGCGUGUAGGCGGUUCGGUAAGUCUGCUGUGAAAGUCCAGGGCUCAACCCUGGGAUGCCGGUGGAUACUGCCGAACUAGAGUGCGGAAGAGGCGAGUGGAAUUCCCGGUGUAGCGGUGAAAUGCGCAGAUAUCAGGAGGAACACCAAUUGCGAAGGCAGCUCGCUGGGACGUUACUGACGCUGAGACGCGAAAGCGUGGGGAGCAAACAGG
rnacentral:rRNA from 1 species